GUAGAAUCGCGUGAAUCCUGCCAAAAUUUGAUCCAGGGUUAUUUCAAAUCAGGGAUUUCAGAUUAUAAACAGAGAGAGCUUCGUUUUUGGCCGGAGUGGAAAGGCAUCGGCGGCGGAAGGGAGUUCGUAGUUCCGGAUUUGAACAUGAGUGCAGAAGAUCUAGCUUCGGCUUCUGCCGCAGCUGCCGCAGCCGCUGACGAGAUGCGGCGGAGGCAGGAGGAGGUUUACGCGACGGCUUGCCGGAGAUUGGCAGCUGCCGAUGCGAGGAGAAAGAGAAAGGAGAUGCAGAGGCUUAAAAAUUCUAUCGCAGCCGGUGCUCCUCUCUGCUCACGGGUUAGAUAAUUCAAGAUAGGCCUUUAUUUUGUGAGGAAAAAAAAUAAAAAAUUGUGUGACAAUAUUUUAAUAUUAUUUAUUUUAAUGAGUUUUAUA